rnacentral:piRNA from 1 species
UUUGACCAGCGUUAAAAUUUA